UGGCUAACUCCUACGGGAGGCAGCAGUGGGGAAUUUUGGACAAUGGGGGCAACCCUGAUCCAGCAAUGCCGCGUGUGUGAAGAAGGUCUUCGGAUUGUAAAGCACUUUAAGUUGGGAGGAAGGGCAGUAAGCUAAUACCUUGCUGUUUUGACGUUACCGACAGAAUAAGCACCGGCUAACUCUGUGCCAGCAGCCGCGGUAAUACAGAGGGUGCAAGCGUUAAUCGGAAUUACUGGGCGUAAAGCGCGCGUAGGUGGUUUGUUAAGUUGGAUGUGAAAGCCUCGGGCUCAACCUGGGAACUGCAUCCAAAACUGGCAAGCUAGAGUAUGGUAGAGGGUGGUGGAAUUUCCUGUGUAGCGGUGAAAUGCGUAGAUAUAGGAAGGAACACCAGUGGCGAAGGCGACCACCUGGACUGAUACUGACACUGAGGUGCGAAAGCGUGGGGAGCAAACAGGAUUAGAUACCCCUGUAGUCCAGCUGG
rnacentral:rRNA from 1 species